rnacentral:rRNA from 1 species
CGUCUAUAUACGUAUAGCAUAUCAAUAAGCGGAGGAAAAGAAACUAACUAGGAUUCCCUUAGUAACGGCGAGUGAAGCGGGAAGAGCUCAAAUUUGAAAUCUUAAAGGUUUCCCUUGACGAAUUGUAGUUUAAAGAAGUGUUUUCUGUUGGAGUUUCGGUAAAAGUUCUUUGGAAUAGGACAUCAUAGAGGGUGAGAAUCCCGUAUUUGACCAUUUACUUUCCAGCUGUGUGAUACACUUUCAAAGAGUCGGAUUGUUUGGGAAUGCAGUCCAAAAUGGGUGGUAAAUUUCAUCUAAAGCUAAAUACUGGCGAGAGACCGAUAGCGAACAAGUACCGUGAGGGAAAGAUGAAAAGAACUUUGAAAAGAGAGUUAAACAGUACGUGAAAUUGUCAAAAGGGAAGCGUUUGACACCAGUGUUGUUUUCUCGAAAAUCAAUUAAAAAUGGUGGGAUUUUGUGUUGUAUUGACUUUAUCAGCUUUCUGCACUUUUUUCCUGUCUUUUUUCAAUGCACUUUUCGUUUAACAAGUCAACAUCAAUUUCUUUUGCUGUAAAAGAGUCAUUGGAAGGUGGCUUUCUUUUCGGAGAAAGUGUUUAUAGCCUUUGACUUCUGCAAUCGGAGAGAUUGAGGUCUGACAGCGUAGAUCCUUCGGGGUUAGAUACAUUUGUGCUAAGUUAUAGCCUUUCAUAGACAACUUGUUGACUAUGAUCAGUCAUGUAGCUUACUCGCUUAUGCUAUUUUACCUACGCUUAGGAUGUUGACGAUCAGCUGAGCGCG